GGGGACUCAGGCGGGACUGCCGGCGAAUAGCCGGAGGAAGAGGGGAUGAUGUCAAGUCCUCAUGGCCCUUAGUGUCCGGGGCUACACACAUGCUACAGUGCCCAGCACAAAUGGGUCGCCAACCCGCAAGGGGGAGCCAAUCCCAAUCAAAACUGGGCAUGGUUCGGAUUGCAGGCUGCAACCCGCCUGCAUGAAGCCGGAAUCGCUAGUAAUCGCGGGUCAGCCACACCGCGGUGAAUACGUACUCGGGGCUU
rnacentral:rRNA from 1 species